rnacentral:lncRNA from 1 species
AGGUCUAAGCUACCUCUUUGCACCUGGGAACUCUGUGCCUUUUGAGAGUUGAAGGCUUAAAACAACAACAACCACCACAACAAAACUAUUCACCUUUUUAUCCAAUAGAAACUAAGGUGGGAAAACCAAGACAUAGUGAAUCUGAGAAACUGCCUAAGGACAAGCUCAUCGGCAAGCGGCAGAGCAGUUUUUAAUCAAGGCCCACUUUUUAACCACUGGAAAGAAAAGAGGGAAGGUUCUGAUUUCAUGCUCACUGGGACACUUCCUGGACACAUUCAGCUUCUUACCCAUUAUUCAGAAGGAGAAGUAGAAACCUGUAGAAGUAGCCCUGGGGAGGGUAGUUUCUGAUAAAGGAUGUCUCCAUUUGGAAAUUAAUCUGUAAAGGAUGAUGCCCGGCAUCUGCUCAGCUUCUGAUGAGGCCUCAGGAAGCUUCCAAUCAUGGCAGAAGGCAAAGGGGAACCCAUGUAUCACAUAGCAAGAGCAGGAGCAAGAGAGGCGCGGGGAGAGGUUUUAAACCACGUCUUGCAAGAACUCACUAUUGCGAGGACAGUACCUUGGGGAUGGUGCUAAAUCAUUCAUGAGAAAUCUGCCCCCAUGAUCUAAUCACCUCCCACCAGGCCCCAACUCCGACACUGGAGAUUACAUUUCAACAUGAGAUUUGGGUGGGGACAAAUAUCCAGACUAUAUCGGGGCUGUACCAGCAAUUGACUCCUGACAUCUGUUCUGACUGGUCAGAGUCUGUUCUGAUAGGUUGGUGCCUCUACUGAUUAUUAAAUAUUUUAUGCUAUACCAAUUAUUAAAUAUUUUGAAAACCACCUACUGUUACAUGGGCUAUCAUAUUGCCUAGAAUAUUUGGUGAUGGUUUCAUAAAUGGAAAGCAAUUGAUU